rnacentral:rRNA from 1 species
UACGUAGGGUGCAAGCGUUGUUCGGAUUUACUGGGCGUAAAGGGCGCGUAGGCGGCCACGACAAGUCACUUGUGAAAUCUCCGGGCUUAACUCGGAACGGUCAAGUGAUACUGUCGGGCUAGAGUGCAGAAGGGGCAACUGGAAUUCUCGGUGUAGCGGUGAAAUGCGUAGAUAUCGAGAGGAACACCUGCGGCGAAGGCGGGUUGCUGGGCUGAUACUGACGCUGAGGCGCGAAAGCCAGGGGAGCGAACGGG